UCAGCAGUCCARRAUAUUAGUCAAUGCUCGAAAGAGUGAACUAGCUACUGAAAUCAAUUAAAAAAAUUGAUAACAUAAGGGAAAAUAAUGAUAUUACCUUAUUAUUAGUGUCGUCCAAAUCUGGUGCCAGAAGACUCGGUAAGGCCAGAGACACAAACGUUAAUCGUCUUAAUCAGGCGUAAAGGGUUUGCAGGCGGCUUUAAAAAUUAUUAAAUAAAUAUUAUUAAAUAAUUAAAGAAUAAAAGCUAGAAUCAAACAGAGGAUAUAUUAAAGAAUGCUUAGAGCAGGUCUGAUAUCCUUAGAUACUAAGUAGAAUAUUAAAGGCGAAAGCUUUUUUCCAUUAAUGAUUGACGCUCAGAAACGAAGGUGAGGAUAGGAAAUAGGAUUAGAUACCCAAAAUACCCCUCUCUGUAAACGAUGAAUGGUAGUUAUUAAUAAAAAUUAUUAUUAAUGACAAUGUUAACACGAUAACCAUUCCGCCUUGUGAGUACAACUGCAAAGUUGAAAACAAAAAAAUUAGUCGGUUUCGGAGCAAACGAAGUGAAGCAUGUUAUUUAAUUCAUUUAAUCCGCACCG
rnacentral:rRNA from 1 species